GACGUAGGGGGCGAGCGUUGUCCGGAAUUACUGGGCGUAAAGAGCUCGUAGGUGGUUUGUCGCGUUGUUCGUGAAAACUCACAGCUUAACUGUGGGCGUGCGGGCGAUACGGGCAGACUGGAGUACUGCAGGGGAGACUGGAAUUCCUGGUGUAGCGGUGGAAUGCGCAGAUAUCAGGAGGAACACCGGUGGCGAAGGCGGGUCUCUGGGCAGUAACUGACGCUGAGGAGCGAAAGCGUGGGGAGCGAACAGG
rnacentral:rRNA from 1 species